GAAUGAAGUUUAUAUUGAAGUAAAUUUUCAGAUAAACUAAAGUUUAGGUAAAGUUUACUUUCCUUCUACUGUUUAUUUGUAUAGCUAUGAAACUGAUGUUCUUUUAAUUCUAAUGUUUAUUUAGUAGGAAGUAAAUGACGUAUUUGACACUUCUAGGAUUUAGAAUAGUCCUAAAUAUAAAAUAUAAUAGGCCUAAAUCUUUUAACCCGACUAUAACAUUUUGGGCAGUUGUUAGACUCAAGAGGUAGAGAAUUAACGUGCUAGGACUAGUAAAGUUUUAUGAUGGGUGACCCUCUGGCAAGUGGGGUGUCACAGUUGGUAUCGAAAUUAAUCACCAGUCAAAAGUAUGAGAUAAGUGUCAACUGAGGUAAGAUCAUACAUCAAGUAGAAAGCUCCGAUUCUCCGGCUGACGAUCGUUAUGGGUGGAGCGAGAUUCCUCACAAGAUCGAUUAAGAUUAGCAAGAUGAGUCUCACAUUGCCUUGAUAUAAUAAGUCUAAAACUCUUAACCCAACUAUAGUAUUUUGGACAGUAACUAGACCCAAAAAACUAAAAAGGUUAAGCAUGCUAGGACUAAAAUAAUUCUAGAAAAAAGUGAUCUUCUGAGAAGUGGGACGUCACAGUGAAAAGUUAGAGGUGUGUGAGUGAUGAACUAAUAUUAUUUUUAUUAUUUUUGCUUCAUAUUUGACUUUCGCCGUAGAUGGGCCGAGGUCAAUUACGUUAUUUUGAAAAAUUUAAGUUUCGACCAAAUAUAAAGUUACCAUAAAUCAAACAAUUCAUAUC
rnacentral:lncRNA from 1 species